CCUACGGGGGGCUGCAGUGGGGAAUAUUGGACAAUGGGCGAAAGCCUGAUCCAGCCAUGCCGCGUGUGUGAAGAAGGCCUUCGGGUUGUAAAGCACUUUCAGUGGGGAAGAAAGCCUUGGGGCUAAUACCCUCGAGGAAGGACAUCACCCACAGAAGAAGCACCGGCUAACUCCGUGCCAGCAGCCGCGGUAAUACGGAGGGUGCGGGCGUUAAUCGGAAUUACUGGGCGUAAAGCGCGCGUAGGCGGUCUGAUAAGCCGGUUGUGAAAGCCCCGGGCUCAACCUGGGAACGGCAUCCGGAACUGUCAGGCUAGAGUGUAGGAGAGGAAGGUAGAAUUCCCGGUGUAGCGGUGAAAUGCGUAGAGAUCGGGAGGAAUACCAGUGGCGAAGGCGGCCUUCUGGACUGAUACUGACGCUGAGGUGCGAAAGCGUGGGUAGCAAACAGGAUUAGAUACCCCUGUAGUC
rnacentral:rRNA from 1 species